rnacentral:rRNA from 2 species
UGGGUCGUGCUACGAUGCAAGUCGAACGGAGAUGCGAUGUGAGCGAGAGGUGCUUGCACUGAUUAAUCUUUUCGUAUCUUAGUGGCGGACGGGUGAGUAACGCGUGGGUAACCUGCCUUAUACCGGGGGAUAACACUUAGAAAUAGGUGCUAAUACCGCAUAAGCGCACGGUGUCGCAUGACACAGUGUGAAAAACUCCGGUGGUAUAAGAUGGACCCGCGUCUGAUUAGCCAGUUGGCAGGGUAACGGCCUACCAAAGCGACGAUCAGUAGCCGGCCUGAGAGGGUGAACGGCCACAUUGGGACUGAGACACGGCCCAAACUCCUACGGGAGGCAGCAGUGGGGAAUAUUGCACAAUGGGGGAAACCCUGAUGCAGCGACGCCGCGUGAGUGAAGAAGUAUUUCGGUAUGUAAAGCUCUAUCAGCAGGGAAGAAGAAAUGACGGUACCUGACUAAGAAGCCCCGGCUAACUACGUGCCAGCAGCCGCGGUAAUACGUAGGGGGCAAGCGUUAUCCGGAUUUACUGGGUGUAAAGGGAGCGUAGACGGUGAAGCAAGUCUGAAGUGAAAGGUUGGGGCUCAACCCCGAAACUGCUUUGGAAACUGUUUAACUGGAGUACAGGAGAGGUAAGUGGAAUUCCUAGUGUAGCGGUGAAAUGCGUAGAUAUUAGGAGGAACACCAGUGGCGAAGGCGGCUUACUGGACUGUAACUGACGUUGAGGCUCGAAAGCGUGGGGAGCAAACAGGAUUAGAUACCCUGGUAGUCCACGCCGUAAACGAUGAUUACUAGGUGUUGGUGGAUAUGGAUCCAUCGGUGCCGCAGCAAACGCAAUAAGUAAUCCACCUGGGGAGUACGUUCGCAAGAAUGAAACUCAAAGGAAUUGACGGGGACCCG